ensembl:lncRNA
UCCCAAAGCUGACAUCAAACUGAGGAUCAAGUCCAAAAGUAUCAAGGUUACACACUGUUACACUCCCUGAGAACCACCACCAGAGCCCUGGGACAUGGAAAACAACACAUCUAUUUACUGUAUGUUGUUUGUUUACUCGUUAAUCUGUUUGUUAUUUUCAGACUCUUUUCCUCACCCCUGCCAGGCAGUGGGAUAUUUGGUGAUGCUAUCUGUGUGUGUGUCUGUUUGUUUGUUUACUUGUUUGUGUUUGCAUAAUGACCUUAGGGACCAACAUCACUGGGAAAAACCUUCAUGGUCUAUGAGGGCAUUGCUGGACAAAAGCAAGGACACUGCAAGUGAACAAGAGCCAUGCAGCCCUUCAGACAUAUUACAGUCAAAGACAAAGAUAACAAGUGGAGAGGCAGGCAACUGGCAACUGAUGACAGGGUCGAGAGGAGAGUCAGGAUGA